rnacentral:rRNA from 1 species
CUGCUGCUAAUACCCCAUAUGCCGAAAGGUGAAAAGAAAUUUGCCUUGAGAGGGGCUCGCGUCCGAUUAGCUAGUUGGUGAGGUAAGAGCUUACCAAGGCGACGAUCGGUAGCUGGUCUGAGAGGAUGAGCAGCCACACUGGGACUGAGACACGGCCCAGACUCCUACGGGAGGCAGCAGUGGGGAAUUUUCCGCAAUGGGCGAAAGCCUGACGGAGCAACGCCGCGUGGGGGAAGAAGGCCUUUGGGUUGUAAACUCCUUUUCUCAGGGAAGAAGAACUGACGGUACCUGAGGAAUCAGCCUCGGCUAACUCCGUGCCAGCAGCCGCGGUAAUACGGAGGAGGCAAGCGUUAUCCGGAAUUAUUGGGCGUAAAGCGUUCGUAGGCGGCGUUUCAAGUCUGCUGUCAAAGGCCGAGGCUCAACUUCGGAAAGGCAGUGGAAACUGAAAAGCUAGAGGUCGGUAGGGGCAGAGGGAAUUCCCAGUGUAGCGGUGAAAUGCGUAGAUAUUGGGAAGAACACCGGUGGCGAAAGCGCUCUGCUGGGCCGAACCUGACGCUGAGGGACGAAAGCUAGGGGAGCGAAUGGGAUUAG